UUGCUGUAGUCGUUGUGUUUUAUUUUUUGUAUUGUUGCGUGUCUCUCUUUUACCAUUUUUUAAGCUUUUAGUUUCGCUCCAGGAAACUUUUUACUUAGGAUCCACAUAAGUUGAGUAUUCUUCUUUCCCAUCUUUUUUUCCUUUCGCAAAUUCUCACCCACCCAUUUCCAUCCAACCGCCUCCAGCCUCCUCCUCUUUUCACCCACUUCAUUGUUAUUUAUUUAACAUUUCACACAUUUUCUUUUUUUAAUUUUUAUUUUCCCGCAACGAACAAUCGUAAAAUUGGAUUUUGUGUUUUUUUUUUCUUCUUAUUCUUCUUUGAACAUUUUGUUAUUGUCGCAGGUAGAUAGUAACAAUUUGUCGAAUUAUGUUGCAACCUUUUCCCCCUUCAACAACCUUCCCAUCCCCCUACUUCAUCGAAGAAUAUCUAUGAUCUAAAGUUUCGAAUCGUUAUCACGGUUUCCUCCUCUAACAGGGGUGGUGUUUGAUCUUUUUUAAAGUGCAGAAUUAGUAUCGUCGUGACGAUAAUUCUCGGAAAAUUCCAUGGGAAAAAUUCUCGUAAUCCGAUUGUGUGUGUGUGUGUGUCUAACAGUACGCUACACAAUUAAUCGAUAUAAGAUAGUACAAAUAAUUUUCUUAGAUAUUUGUUUAUAUAUAUAAAACAAAGUGAGAGAGAGAGAGAGAAAAACAAUAUUCGAUGGGUAAGUUUGUUGCGUCAUGGUUGUUGCCGGCGAAGCUUUGUAUUUUUUUUCCCCCCUGUCCCAUGAAUUUCGUAUUUUUUUUCGAUGCUCGAGGAGAGAAAAAAAGAAAAUCCAGAUCGAGGGGUGGAGGGGGAGUGGUACGAACUAUUUCACAAGGCAAGGAUUUGUUCACAACUUAUUAUGUGUACCUCGUGUUUCUCUCAGUGUAUGUUUACAUUCUGUCUGUCAAGAAUAUUUAUUUCCUUUAUAUCGGAACAUUCGAAUAAAUAUGUUUUUCUUUUCUUUUUUUUUUUUUUUUUUUUUUUUUUAAUUCCCAAAACGAAAAUUGAUUUCUCUCAACAACAAUCGUGUGUCUCCAACAAAUCGUAUUCGUUAGAUAUUACACAAAUCGUGUAAAAAAAAUUUGUUCAUAACGUUUGUUCAGUGUAUUUUAGUAGGGAUAUUCUCAAAGAAUUUCGAUUACGUUUAAUAACAUUUUUCUAACAUUGCGAUACACAUUUUUUCUUCUUUUUUUUGUGGGGGUUCGUGGGGGAGAGGGGGUUCUUAUUGCAGCAUUUAUAUCCGUCUCGUUUAAUUAAUUUCUUUUUCUAACUUGAGAUUCUCUUUCAUUAUAUUAUUUCCCUCCCCCACCCUUUUUUUUUUCUUUCUAUUAUUAUCCUUUAUCAAAUCGAGGUAUUUCUAAAGUUCAAAUAAGGGGAAAAAUUGAUCCACGAUUGUCGAUAACGAUUUUGAUAGUUAGUAUUCGAAUAUGUUCCCGCGUUUAAUUAGAAAUAAUUAUAUUUUAUGUUAUCGUUUUUAAUUACUAUGUAUUCACAUAAGUUGAUAAUUUCAGAUAUACUUUGAUUAUCUUUUUGAUUAAGGAUACGAGGUAAGUUUAUUGAUAUUCGACGAACAAAUCAUUUCAUAUGUCUCUAUUAUUCUUUUAGGAAACACUUCAUCCAGGUGGCAUGUUUUUUAUCGAAUGACGAUCGAGACAACGUUCCGCAUAAAAGGUAAAUAUAUGUAUAAUAUAUGUGUUAUGUGACUUUUCUUAUAUCACUUAUAUCUAAUAGCUAAAAAAACAAAACAUCAAACACGGAAAAUGCAUACAAAUUAUAUGUAUAUAUAUAUAAAAAAAAGUAAGAAACUAUAAUCCAUCACAAGUAAUUAGAAAUAAAUAAAAAAUAGGAGUGUACAACACGUAUAUGUGACACGUAAAUGGGAUAAUUUUUUUCUCGUGAUUUCAAGCUUACAAAAAACUUAAAAAAAAAAAAAAAAAAAAAAAACAAGUGCAACAUAAUAAUCUUUCGCACGUUGCCUUAUAUAUGUGUAUAUAAGUAAAUGUUUAUAUGUUUUAUUAUAUACUUGUAAUCUAUAUCAGUGUAGGUUUAAUCAUAAUUGAAAUAAAGAUAUCAUAAUUAUUAAAUAUCGCAAAAGCCUUAAGGCUCUCGAUGUUGUUUAAUGAGUGUAUAAUUAAUUAUUAUAAUUAGAUAUAUUUAUGCGAAUAUCACUUAUGGUAUAUGCUCGCGAGAUAUAUUAUCACGUAAUUCUCGACUUAUUCUUCGCGUGUUUUAAUUCUAUAUAAUAAUUAUCAUUUUACUAUAUUAUUAUACUUUUAUUUUUCUCCCCGUUUCCCCCUUCUUUUUUUUUUCUUUUCUAUUUUUUUCGUGAAAAUGUUCAUGAAAAAAGACGUAUCGGAAUAUGAAUUGUUUAAUUAUACAUGAAUAUAUGACACAUCGUAACUAUAAUGCAUUAUAUCAUCUCAUAUAGUGGUCUCUUAUUUCACAUUAGUUUGCGAAAUAUUUUUCUUUUUUUUUUUUUACAAAUUAUGUAUCCGAAAAAUUUGUGCGCUAACCAAUUCGACGGUAAAUUAUUUCCCCCCCCCCCCCCUAUAAAUCUUUAUUAUCCAUUUACUAUUUCUUUUCUUCGUGAUGUUUAUCGUUAAAAUUUUUAAACAUGGAAAAAUGCGUUUAUAUUUCAUAGAAAUUUUCCUUUCAUCUUUUUUUACAUUAUAUAUAAUUUUCUUUUCGUUUAUAUAAACAUCAUCAUUUCUGAAGGAAAAACCCCAUUUGUUUUCUUAUUUAUUUUUUUUGUUAUUUUCCGUCGAUUUUUUGUUUGUUUCUCAUCUCUCUAAAUAGUUAGUACACAAGUUAAAUUUAAUAUUAUUAUUAUUAUUAUUAUUAAAUUUUACCACAAUAUUUGCUUCAAAUAUUAUCAACGCGGUGUUUGUUCGCUUUUCUUCUAUUUUUUUUUUACGCCGGGGUUCUUACUUGUAUAAUUGGGGAGGGUUGGGGGUUGAUGAACAGGGAAAAAAGGCCUUUUGCCAAGUUUAUAAUCGUAGUGUCAAAUCACAAUAAUUUACGAUCACGAUGAUCCUAAACGACUUCAGUCGGGUGUUAUACAUUUUUGUUGUUUAAUUUUAUUUAUCGAACGAUACCGAUAAUUUCAACAUGGUAAAAGACGAUGUUUAUAGAAUAUUUUUCUUAAGCUCGUGUAUUCAUUUUUUUCUUUUUUUUUUUUUUUUUUAAAUGUGUGUGUAUGUAUAUAAAGCACGACGAUUAGAUUUUUUUUCUCUUGGCAAAAAUAUACAUGGAUGGCAACACUAAAGUUGACAAGCGUAAUGUUUGUUGGUUUUUUUUUCCUUUUUCUUUUCUUUUUUUUUCUUUUUUUUUUUUUCAAUCGAACACAUCAUCCUUCGAAUCUUUUAUAAAUGUUUUUUUUUCCUUUCGUCUACAAUUAUUUAUCAUCAGCCAUUUAAAUUCGAAGAAUUUAUUUAUUGAUUUAUUAUUUACGUACGCGAACGUUCUCUCUCUUCCUUCGAUUAAAAUAAAAUUAAUAAUUAAAUAUACAAACGUCUUUUUAAGUAAAAUAUAUCUGGGACUCUCUUUUCGCACGGUUCUUUUUUUUUCUUUUUUACAAGUUUUAACAAAUUUCUCAAUAAAUAUGAUUUCUUUUUUUCCCCGACAAAUAUUUCGUAUCAAAGACAAUUCGUCGAGAGACACAGGAAUAAUUCUACUUUAUCACAAAUUAAUUUCUUUUUCUUUUUUCUUUCAUCGCGUAAACAGAGUCCUGGGUGUAUUUUUUUUAAUGACGUUGUUGCACUCGCUAUAUCAUCAUAUUUAGGGGAGGGGGGGGGGCGAGUUGUACGUGUGCUCUGGUUAUCACGAACAAAAAAA